CUCAGCAUGCCUGAAACACCGGUUCUCCUACGAUUAUUGAAGUUAAGCAACGUCGAGCCUGGCCAGUAUCUAGAUGGGUAACCGACUGAGAAUGCCAGGUGCAGUAAG